CUCUGAAGUGGGAGGCUGAAAACACGAAGUCACCGAAUUUGAGAUUAGGAGGAAAUGUUUCUUUCAGGUCACCUUGGCCUAGAGAAAGAUGCGCAGUCUGUCCUUUGGAAGAACUGUGUGAUGUGGCUCAUGAACAUGGUGCAAUCACCUUCGUAGAUGAAGUGCAUGCUGUUGGGCUGUAUGGUGCUCAAGGUGGAGGCAUAGGAGAUCGGGAUGGAGUUAUGCAUAAAAUGGACAUAAUAUCUGGAAGACUUGGUAUGUGUGAGUUGCCUCCUAGUUAGAAAAAUGCAUGCAAUUAUGUUCUUGUUCAAUAAAAUAAAUAAAAUUUUAAAAAAGC